rnacentral:misc_RNA from 1 species
AGCAGCCGCGGUAAUUCCAGCUCCAAUAGCGUAUAUUAAAGUUGUUGCAGUUAAAAAGCUCGUAGUUGAAUUUCGGGAUUGGCGCAUCGGUCGUGCCUCACGGGGUAUGAACUGGUGCAGUCAAUUUCUCACCUUCUGGAGGACCGCGAUGUCCUUAAUUGGAUGCCGCGGGGAACCAGGACCUUUACUUUGAAAAAAUUAGAGUGUUUAAAGCAGGCAUUUUUGCUUGAAUACAUUAGCAUGGAAUAAUAAAAUAGGACGGCAUGGUUCUAUUUUGUUGGUUUCUAGGACCACCGUAAUGAUUAAUAGGGAUAGUUGGGGGCAUUAGUAUUCAAUUGUCAGAGGUGAAAUUCUUGGAUUUAUUGAAGACUAACUACUGCGAAAGCAUUUGCCAAGGAUGUUUUCAUUAAUCAAGAACGAAAGUUAGGGGAUCGAAGACGAUCAGAUACCGUCGUAGUCUUAACCAUAAACUAUGCCGACUAGGAAUCAGACGAUGUUAAUUUUUUAAUGACUCGUUUGG